GCUCUAGUGAGGAAGGCGGACGAAGAUAUCGUGGAUGUGCUUCCAAGGUCAGUGGAAAUAGUGAUUGGAGAUGUUGGUGAUGCAAAUACCCUGAAGGCUGCUGUGGAGGGUUGCAAUAAAAUCAUCUAUUGUGCAACUGCUCGUUCCACAAUUACUGCCGAUCUCUUUAGGGUUGAUCAUCAAGGAGUUUACAAUAUCACCAAAGCAUUUCAGGACUAUAAUAAUAAGCUAGCCCAACUUCGAG
rnacentral:misc_RNA from 1 species